UCAUAACUCUCUCCUUCUUCUCUCUCUUUCCCACGUUCUCUCUUCUUCCUCCGAAAUCUCCUUCGCGCGCUGCUUCUCUCCGCCGGCGAUUGCCCCUCCGCCGGCAAUCUGCCGCGAUGUACUACCUCCGGCCGGCACCACCACUUCAGCCCCUAACCCCUGGUGGUUGGAGCUCCCUCCGACGAGCCGUCGAUACUCCCGUUCGGCUUGUUUUCUCCGUCGGCUCUUCAACCGGUUCUGUUUGAGCCGAGCUAAGUUCUGGCGUUCGAUCGGUGGUCCCCAGUGAACUAGCAGCGUUCCGAUCGCCCUCAGACCUUUCCCCAACGUGUUCCCGGCCACCAGGAGGUCGGGGCAUGGCCGGAUCACCAACGGAGGAGCUUCGGUGGUCCUUUCUCCCACCGGUGCACAGAUCGGGUCUUUAAGCAUUCUAUAAUCAUCCAUUGGAGGCUGUGGAGUUCGGUUUUGAUGAAAUCAAGGCUUAAGCGCACAAAGGUAUACUCCUCUAACCUGAGUUCGAUGAAGCGAGGAUGCGUUAGGCGUCCGGGGCUAGAACUCGCCUUAGGCUUGCCAUGGAUAGAUGCUAAGGGGUGCUGUUGAUGCAUAUAUGGAGGAUGAUGAGUUGAUUAGUGAGAUAGAGAUGCUCUGAUUGAUGAAUGAUUGCAUAAGAAUGUUCUGUUAAUUUCGUUGCUCUCUGAACACAGAUUCUAUUAGAGCUGAAACAAGUUCUUAAAUGUUGAAAUCAUGCUUCGAGUCCUUCUAGACAUUUGAUCUAUACUUCCUAAGCUUCGAUUCGACAUAUUAUGCGUCCAAAAUGAAGUUCAUUUACUACCUCAAAAUCCCCUCGAAAUCUCGGAUCUCUGUUCUGCAAUAUGUUUCUGUUAAAGUUUAAAUCUGUUAUUGAAUGUCUGAUUAUUUUGCUGAUUUUAUGCCGAUUUUUGUGAGUUGAAUUUGGCGAUCUUUCUUUCACGAAAAUUGUUCAUUAGGAUCACAAUCAUGACAUAAUUUUUUCUCAGAUUUUUAGGAGUUCAUUCAAUAGGUGAAAAUUCCUUAAUUCAACCCUAGGUCUUGUCUGCCUAUACUGGAACCCGAAAUGAACUUGCUGAAACAUCUUCGUUUGAGUUUGAAAUCGACAUUUUCUGACUUAGAGUCCUUAACGAAGUUUGUAAAGCACUCAAAUCAGUCUUUAAAAUACUAAAGAUAUCCCUGAUCGGAGUUCAUUUGGCACCUGAAAUCAAUUUUCAAAGUUGCAGCAAGAGUAAGUUGGUUUUUGGCUGUAACCGAACUGAAACUGCACAUUUUACUAUUUUUGUACAGAACAGGAAAAUCGAUUUUCGAGUUGCAUCCUUCUGUGAACUUGUAAAUUCAGGUCUCAUGCACGUCAUAUAUAUUUUUUUAGAAUUUUUAGACAACAUUUGGUACCUGAAAUCAUCUCAUAUUCUCAGGUUGUUCAUUCUGCCCAGUACUGAUCCGAAUUGCAUUCCUGCAAAAUUCAUUGUCAAAUUGGACUUAAUUGUUCAAGUGACCUUCAUGAACAUCAUAGAGCAUCAUGUUAACUCACUAGUGACACUCUCCAUGCAUCAAUUGCUCGUCAUUAGUGUGUUUAAUCAAUUGAAAUUCCUUAACCCCUAAAUCUGUCAAUUAGGGAUUAAGCUGUUUAUGUAGCACUCUUGUCAAUUUUAUAGGAAUUUUUCUGUUCACAAUCAAAACAUGGAGUCUUCUAGACUUUUGUAAAGGGCUAUUCAAGCUUCGCAUUGACGUAUUACAUGUAUUUUUUGCAUGUCAUUUGGUAGGUUAAAAUCAUGCACAAACAUGCUACCACGUUCUGUCAUAUUGCAUUUCAUGCAUCAUGAACAUUAAUUCAUGCUUAAUAGUUCAUGGACUUGUAUGGUCAUUUGCUCAUGUAAUUAGGAUUAGAUGACUAUAUCCUCUUUGUCAUCGCAUUUAGUCCUAAACCAUGUUAAAUUUUCAUACAUUUCAUGCAUCAUUUUAGUUCAUCUUUGCCAUCCAUAAAAUGUCAUUGAAACUAGUUAAUGCAUUGACAUGCUUUCAUGAAAAUCAAACCUAAAGUUGGACUUAAUCGGAUUCAUGCCCUUUUGGUAAGUCGUCAUACAUGUUAUGAAACUUCCAUAGACACCAGGAACAUGUCAUUUGCUUGCCAUUUAGGACAUUUUUCAUUUUUUCUACAAGUUUGCAUUAGGAUCUGCAACUUGUAAAUUCGGAACCCCUGUUCUGUCCAAAGUGAGUUAGACCUCUUGUUGAUUUUUUAUCGAUUUUUCUACAAAUAAUCAGAGGUCAGACCCCUAAUGAAAGUUGUAGGAAAUUCAUUGAAUUACAGUGUCAAAAUUUCGGAAUUACUAAGCAUCAAAUGGUAAGGCAAAUGGCCUUAUCUUUGCAACAAAAACUGCAGCAAUUCCCUUUUUCUGACGCAUUUAAUCGUGUUCCCGAAUUUUUAUAAAAUCAUGUGAACAUUUUUUAGUAAAACUUUCUCUAUGAAAGUUGUUCCUCAUUGUGUGCUUAAGCUACCAUAAUUUUUCCAGAACUUAAUUUCGCAUGGGUCAUGUUCUGUUAAAUAGGUCUUUCUUCCCCUGUUCUGCUGUUCUUUCUCUUUCUUUUAUGAAUUGUCGCAUGAUGAAUGGAAUGAAGCGACCCGAUGUUGGUUCACUAAAUUGAGUGAUUGGAUGAGAAUCAAGGUCUUUGUGACCUACUUGCAUGCUUAUUUUAAGUUGGAUGCAUGUGCUUUCUAGAUGUAUGAUAGGAACCGAUGCAUGCUCAAGGGGAUAUCCAUGGGUUCACAUAGAACCCUAAUUAGGGACUAUGUCACAUUAGUCACUAUAAACGAACGUGCUUGGUGGCUAAUGUACAUAAGUCAUCAUUAAAAUGGAGUGGGUAGGUCGUUAGAUGAGGACGACGCAUGUCUAAAUCAAAGGCGGAUCUCGAAGCCAUUGUUGUGAUUACAUUUGCAUCUUUGCAUCUUCUUGCAUAUUGCGUUCUCUUGUAUGGACAAUUAUUGUGUGUUUUGUGAAUAUUAUGAUGUUCAUUUCCCUUGUAUGUACCUAGUCUAGUUUAGCUUUAGAAUUAGAAUAGGUCUAAGAAGACGGCGGUCUUGAAGAUGACGAAGGUCGAUGUCCGUUCAGACCCUAUUCCUUGUAUACGGUGAUGGUCGAUGUCCUCUCCGACCAUUUCAAUUGUAAAAAUUCAUUCAUUACCCGACAUAUGUCUCGGGCUUUCAAUUCGUGUUGUAAUAAACACCCGACGAGUUGCGGGUUUUAUUUUUUUACACUUAGAAUUGGCUUUGUCUUUUCAA